UAAACCAGAGAAAGAGAGAGUUCAGUCAGUUCCCAUUCUUGAUAUUAGAAGUUUUUGUUCUUCUGUUUAGUGCUUUUAAGCAAUGGCUAUCAAGGAGAUUGAGAAUGGAGCUUCUUCUGUUCAUUCAAGCAGUACUGUCACUGAUCAUUCAAGGUGAACCAUUUUUACUUUUUAGUGGCCCUAUCAAGAAAUCAGAUGCUUCGUGCACUGAGUUGUUCUUUUUAAUUACGUUCUCACGAAAGAAAAGAAGAGGAAAUAAGAAAGUAUACGUACAAAUCUACGGUUUCACCUUCAUAUUAAAAUGUUAAUCCAUUUGAUGCUUCCUUUCCUUCAAUGCUUCAUUAUUUCUGUUUCUUAUUAUUUAAUUAUUCCAUUUAAAAUUUUGUGCCGGUGUUAACAUCAAGAUUAAACCGAUGAAUCAUGGAAAUUAUAGAGAGAGAAAGUAGAGAGAAGNNN
rnacentral:lncRNA from 1 species